UGCAGGUACUGGUUGAAUAAGGACCGGCUAAUUCCGUGCCAGCAGCCGCGGUAAUACGGAAGGUCCGAGCGUUAUCCGGAUUUAUUGGGUUUAAAGGGUGCGCAGGCGGGGAGCCAAGUCAGCCGUCAAAUCGCGGAGCUCAACUCCGUCCAGCGGUUGAAACUGGUUCUCUUGAGUGCGGCAGAGGAAGGUGGAAUUCGUGGUGUAGCGGUGAAAUGCAUAGAUAUCACGAAGAACUCCGAUUGCGAAGGCAGCCUUCUGGGCCGUAACUGACGCUCAUGCACGAAGGUGUGGGUAUCAAACAGGAUUAGAUACCCUG
rnacentral:rRNA from 1 species